rnacentral:rRNA from 1 species
UUAAGCGACUAAGCGUACACGGUGGAUGCCCUGGCAGUCAGAGGCGAUGAAGGACGUGCUAAUCUGCGAUAAGCGUCGGUAAGGUGAUAUGAACCGUUAUAACCGGCGAUUUCCGAAUGGGGAAACCCAGUGUGAUUCGUCACACUAUCAUUAACUGAAUCCAUAGGUUAAUGAGGCGAACCGGGGGAACUGAAACAUCUAAGUACCCCGAGGAAAAGAAAUCAACCGAGAUUCCCCCAGUAGCGGCGAGCGAACGGGGAGCAGCCCAGAGCCUGAAUCAGUGUGUGUGUUAGUGGAAGCGUCUGGAAAGGCGCGCGAUACAGGGUGACAGCCCCGUACACAAAAAUGCACAUGCUGUGAGCUCGAUGAGUAGGGCGGGACACGUGGUAUCCUGUCUGAAUAUGGGGGGACCAUCCUCCAAGGCUAAAUACUCCUGACUGACCGAUAGUGAACCAGUACCGUGAGGGAAAGGCGAAAAGAACCCCGGCGAGGGGAGUGAAAAAGAACCUGAAACCGUGUACGUACAAGCAGUGGGAGCACGCUUAGGCGUGUGACUGCGUACCUUUUGUAUAAUGGGUCAGCGACUUAUAUUCUGUAGCAAGGUUAACCGAAUAGGGGAGCCGAAGGGAAACCGAGUCUUAACUGGGCGUUAAGUUGCAGGGUAUAGACCCGAAACCCGGUGAUCUAGCCAUGGGCAGGUUGAAGGUUGGGUAACACUAACUGGAGGACCGAACCGACUAAUGUUGAAAAAUUAGCGGAUGACUUGUGGCUGGGGGUGAAAGGCCAAUCAAACCGGGAGAUAGCUGGUUCUCCCCGAAAGCUAUUUAGGUAGCGCCUCGUGAAUUCAUCUCCGGGGGUAGAGCACUGUUUCGGCAAGGGGGUCAUCCCGACUUACCAACCCGAUGCAAACUACGAAUACCGGAGAAUGUUAUCACGGGAGACACACGGCGGGUGCUAACGUCCGUCGUGAAGAGGGAAACAACCCAGACCGCCAGCUAAGGUCCCAAAGUCAUGGUUAAGUGGGAAACGAUGUGGGAAGGCCCAGACAGCCAGGAUGUUGGCUUAGAAGCAGCCAUCAUUUAAAGAAAGCGUAAUAGCUCACUGGUCGAGUCGGCCUGCGCGGAAGAUGUAACGGGGCUAAACCAUGCACCGAAGCUGCGGCAGCGACGCUGAUGCGUUGUUGGGUAGGGGAGCGUUCUGUAAGCCUGCGAAGGUGUGCUGUGAGGCAUGCUGGAGGUAUCAGAAGUGCGAAUGCUGACAUAAGUAACGAUAAAGCGGGUGAAAAGCCCGCUCGCCGGAAGACCAAGGGUUCCUGUCCAACGUUAAUCGGGGCAGGGUGAGUCGACCCCUAAGGCGAGGCCGAAAGGCGUAGUCGAUGGGAAACAGGUUAAUAUUCCUGUACUUGGUGUUACUGCGAAGGGGGGACGGAGAAGGCUAUGUUGGCCGGGCGACGGUUGUCCCGGUUUAAGCGUGUAGGCUGGUUUUCCAGGCAAAUCCGGAAAAUCAAGGCUGAGGCGUGAUGACGAGGCACUACGGUGCUGAAGCAACAAAUGCCCUGCUUCCAGGAAAAGCCUCUAAGCAUCAGGUAACAUCAAAUCGUACCCCAAACCGACACAGGUGGUCAGGUAGAGAAUACCAAGGCGCUUGAGAGAACUCGGGUGAAGGAACUAGGCAAAAUGGUGCCGUAACUUCGGGAGAAGGCACGCUGAUAUGUAGGUGAAGUCCCUCGCGGAUGGAGCUGAAAUCAGUCGAAGAUACCAGCUGGCUGCAACUGUUUAUUAAAAACACAGCACUGUGCAAACACGAAAGUGGACGUAUACGGUGUGACGCCUGCCCGGUGCCGGAAGGUUAAUUGAUGGGGUUAGCGCAAGCGAAGCUCUUGAUCGAAGCCCCGGUAAACGGCGGCCGUAACUAUAACGGUCCUAAGGUAGCGAAAUUCCUUGUCGGGUAAGUUCCGACCUGCACGAAUGGCGUAAUGAUGGCCAGGCUGUCUCCACCCGAGACUCAGUGAAAUUGAACUCGCUGUGAAGAUGCAGUGUACCCGCGGCAAGACGGAAAGACCCCGUGAACCUUUACUAUAGCUUGACACUGAACAUUGAGCCUUGAUGUGUAGGAUAGGUGGGAGGCUUUGAAGUGUGGACGCCAGUCUGCAUGGAGCCGACCUUGAAAUACCACCCUUUAAUGUUUGAUGUUCUAACGUUGACCCGUAAUCCGGGUUGCGGACAGUGUCUGGUGGGUAGUUUGACUGGGGCGGUCUCCUCCUAAAGAGUAACGGAGGAGCACGAAGGUUGGCUAAUCCUGGUCGGACAUCAGGAGGUUAGUGCAAUGGCAUAAGCCAGCUUGACUGCGAGCGUGACGGCGCGAGCAGGUGCGAAAGCAGGUCAUAGUGAUCCGGUGGUUCUGAAUGGAAGGGCCAUCGCUCAACGGAUAAAAGGUACUCCGGGGAUAACAGGCUGAUACCGCCCAAGAGUUCAUAUCGACGGCGGUGUUUGGCACCUCGAUGUCGGCUCAUCACAUCCUGGGGCUGAAGUAGGUCCCAAGGGUAUGGCUGUUCGCCAUUUAAAGUGGUACGCGAGCUGGGUUUAGAACGUCGUGAGACAGUUCGGUCCCUAUCUGCCGUGGGCGCUGGAGAAUUGAGGGGGGCUGCUCCUAGUACGAGAGGACCGGAGUGGACGCAUCACUGGUGUUCGGGUUGUCAUGCCAAUGGCACUGCCCGGUAGCUAAAUGCGGAAGAGAUAAGUGCUGAAAGCAUCUAAGCACGAAACUUGCCCCGAGAUGAGUUCUCCCUGACUCCUUGAGAGUCCUGAAGGAACGUUGAAGACGACGACGUUGAUAGGCCGGGUGUGUAAGCGCAGCGAUGCGUUGAGCUAACCGGUACUAAUGAACCGUGAGGCUUAACCUU